GGGUGAGUAACACGUGACUACCUGCCCUUGAGUGGGGGAUAACUCCGGGAAACCGGGGCUAAUACCGCAUAACCGAAAGCAAAGGAGCGCUUUUGGAGGGGGUCGCGGCUGAUUAGCUAGUUGGUGAGGUAACGGCUCACCAAGGCAAAGAUCGGUAUCCGGCCUGAGAGGGCGCACGGACACACUGGAACUGAAACACGGUCCAGACUCCUACGGGAGGCAGCAGUGGGGAAUUUUGCGCAAUGGGGGAAACCCUGACGCAGCAACGCCGCGUGGAGGAUGAAGCCCCUUGGGGUGUAAACUCCUUUCGACCGGGAAGAUUGACGGUACCGGUGGAAGAAGCACCGGCUAACUCUGUGCCAGCAGCCGCGGUAAUACAGAGGGUGCGAGCGUUGUUCGGAAUUAUUGGGCGUAAAGGGCGCGUAUGCGGUGCGGUAAGUCACCUGUGAAAUCCCCGGGCUUAACUCGGGGCCUGCAGGCGAAAC
rnacentral:rRNA from 1 species